rnacentral:rRNA from 1 species
UACGAAGGGGGCUAGCGUUGUUCGGAAUUACUGGGCGUAAAGCGCACGUAGGCGGACUAUUAAGUCAGGGGUGAAAUCCCGGGGCUCAACCCCGGAACUGCCUUUGAUACUGGUAGUCUCGAGUCCGGAAGAGGUGAGUGGAAUUCCGAGUGUAGAGGUGAAAUUCGUAGAUAUUCGGAGGAACACCAGUGGCGAAGGCGGCUCACUGGUCCGGUACUGACGCUGAGACGCGAAAGCGUGGGGAGCAAACAGG